rnacentral:rRNA from 1 species
AUUGAACGCUGGCGGCAUGCUCUACACAUGCAAGUCGAACGGUAACAGGCCGCUUGGUUCUGACGAGUGGCUAAUGGGUGAGUAAUGCUUCGGAACGUGCCUAGCCGUGUGGGGUAACUAUUCGCAAGAGUAGCUAAUAUCGCAAACGAUUUAUGGUUGAGAGCGGGGGACCCUAAGGCCGCGUGCGACUGGAGCCGCCGAUGUCAGAUUAGGUAGUUGGUGGGGUAAAGGCUUACCAAGCCAACGAUUUGUUGCUGGUCUGAGAGGACGAUCAGCCACACUGGAACUGAGACACGGCCCAGACUCCUACGGGAGGCAGCAGUGGGGAAUUUUGGGCAAUGGGCGCAAGCCUGAUCGAGCAACGCCGCGUGGAGGAAGAAGGCCUUCGGGUUGUAAACUGCUUUUGUGCGGGACGAAACGGCGCUGGUUAAGACACGGAGCUAAUGACGGUACCGUAAGAAUAAGCACCGGCUAACUACGUG